UGGAUUGUGGUGCAGUGGGUCAGCACAUCUGGCUAUAAACCAGAAGGUUGGUGGCUCAUGCCUACCCAAGGAUGGUGGUGGGCAG